ACAGCAGCCGCCACGGUAAUACGAAGGGGGCUAGCGUUACUCGGAAUUACUGGGCGUAAAGGGCGCGUAGGCGGCACGAUUAGUCAGGCGUGAAAUUCCUGGGCUCAACCUGGGGACUGCGCUUGAUACUGUCGAGCUAGAGGAUGGAAGAGGGUUGUGGAAUUCCCAGUGUAGAGGUGAAAUUCGUAGAUAUUGGGAAGAACACCGGUGGCGAAGGCGGCAACCUGGUCCAUUACUGACGCUGAGGCGCGACAGCGUGGGGAGCAAACAGGAUUAGAUACCCGAGUAGUCCCUGUCUCUUAUAC
rnacentral:rRNA from 1 species